CAUCCCCUUCUUGUCAAGUGACUUAUAUGACUAGAAGGCUCAACAUCCCCCGUUCUCUGAGAAGCCCCAGGCUUUGACGGGGCUCUUGGAAUCUGUACUCCAGACUCAUUUCCCCACUUGGGACAACUGCCAACAAUUAUUACUGAUUCUGUUCACCACAGAGGCAAGAGGCAAAAUUAGACAGGAAGCCCUGAAAGGCAUCAUAGGUCCAGGGGGAGGAACAGUAAAA